rnacentral:rRNA from 1 species
UGGUGAGUAACACGUGGGAACAUACCUUGAAGUGGGGGACAACAGAGGGAAACUUCUGCUAAUACCGCAUAAUCCCUGAGGGGGAAAGAUUUAUCGCUUUAAGAUUGGCCCGCGGAAGAUUAGGUAGUUGGUGGGGUAAAGGCCUACCAAGCCGACGAUCUAUAGCUGGUCUGAGAGGACGAACAGCCACAUUGGAACUGAGACACGGUCCAGACUCCUACGGGAGGCAGCAGUGAGGAAUAUUGGGCAAUGGAGGAAACUCUGACCCAGCCAUGCCGCGUGAGUGAAGAAGGUUUUCGAAUUGUAAAGCUCUUUCGGAUGUGAAGAUGAUGACGGUAACAUCUAAAGAAGCCCCGGCAAACUUCGUGCCAGCAGCCGCGGUAAUACGAAGGGGGCAAGCGUUGUUCGGAAUUACUGGGCGUAAAGGGUGUGUAGGCGGGAAAGUAAGAUAGUGGUGAAAUGCCUGAGCUCAACUUGGGAACUGCCAUUAUAACUAUUUUUCUAGAGUGACAGAGAGGAUAUUGGAAUACCCAGUGUAGAGGUGAAAUUCGUAGAUAUUGGGUAGAACACCGGAGGCGAAGGCGAGUAUCUGGCUGUCAACUGACGCUGAGGCACGAAAGCAUGGGGAUCAAACAGGAUUAGAUACCCUGGUAGUCCAUGCUGUAAACGAU